rnacentral:rRNA from 1 species
UUGAACGCUGGCGGCAUGCUUUACACAUGCCAGUCGAACGGUAACAGGCCGCAAGGUGCUGACGAGUGGCGAACGGGUGAGUAAUGCAUCGGAACGUGCCCAGUCGUGGGGGAUAACUACUCGAAAGAGUAGCUAAUACCGCAUACGAUCUAUGGAUGAAAGCGGGGGACCGUAAGGCCUCGCGCGAUUGGAGCGGCCGAUGUCAGAUUAGGUAGUUGGUGGGGUAAAGGCUCACCAAGCCAACGAUCUGUAGCUGGUCUGAGAGGACAACCAGCCACACUGGGACUGAGACACGGCCCAGACUCCUACGGGAGGCAGCAGUGGGGAAUUUUGGACAAUGGGCGCAAGCCUGAUCCAGCAAUGCCGCGUGCAGGAAGAAGGCCUUCGGGUUGUAAACUGCUUUUGUACGGAACGAAACGGCUCUGGUUAAUACCCGGGGCUAAUGACGGUACCGUAAGAAUAAGCACCGGCUAACUACGUG